GACGAACGCUGGCGGCGUGCUUAACACAUGCAAGUCGAGCGGUAAGGCCCCUUCGGGGUACGACGAGCGGCGAACGGGUGAGUAACACGUGGGUGACCUGCCCUCAGCUCUGGGAUAAGCCUGGGAAACUGGGUCUAAUACCGGAUAUGACUCCAUGACGCAUGUCGUGGGGUGGAAAGCCUUGUGCGGCUGGGGAUGGGCCCGCGGCCUAUCAGCUUGUUGGUGGGGUGAUGGCCUACCAAGGCGACGACGGGUAGCCGGCCUGAGAGGGCGACCGGCCACACUGGGACUGAGACACGGCCCAGACUCCUACGGGAGGCAGCAGUGGGGAAUCUUGCGCAAUGGGCGAAAGCCUGACGCAGCGACGCCGCGUGAGGGAUGACGGCCU
rnacentral:rRNA from 1 species